AUACGGAGGGUGCAAGCGUUAAUCGGAAUCACUGGGCGUAAAGCGCGCGCAGGCGGUCUUUUAAGUUGGAUGUGAAAGCCUACGGCUCAACCGUAGAACUGCAUCCAAAACUAUUAGACUAGAGUGUGGGAGAGGAAGAUGGAAUUAGUUGUGUAGGGGUAAAAUCCGUAGAGAUAACUAGGAAUACCAAAAGCGAAGGCAAUCUUCUGGAACACUUCUGACGCUGAGGCGCGAAAGCGUGGGGAGCAAACAGGAUUAGAAACCCCUGUAGUCC
rnacentral:rRNA from 1 species